GGGGUAGAGUAGAUGGGUUGUAGCUGGCCUUCCGAGGCAUGUGCACGCCCUGCUCAUCCACUCUACACCUGUGCACUUACUGUGGGUUUCGAGGCGCCGAGCGUGCAUUAGUGCGCGAGGUAAAUCGGGCCCACGUUUAUCACAAACGCUUUAGUAUCAGAAUGUGUAUUGCGAUGUAACGCAUCUAUAUACAACUUUCAGCAACGGAUCUCUUGGCUCUCGCAUCGAUGAAGAACGCAGCGAAAUGCGAUAAGUAAUGUGAAUUGCAGAAUUCAGUGAAUCAUCGAAUCUUUGAACGCACCUUGCGCUCCUUGGUAUUCCGAGGAGCAUGCCUGUUUGAGUGUCGUGAAAUUCUCAACCUAUAAGUCCUUGUGGCUUUGUAGGCUUGGACUUGGAGGCUUGCUGGCCCUAACGGGUUCGGCUCCUCUUAAAUGCAUUAGCUCGAUUCCUUGCGGAUCGGCUCUCGGUGUGAUAAUUGUCUACGCCGCGACCGUGAAGCGUUUGGCGGGCUUUUAACCGUCUCAUUAGAGACACUUCAUUGACAUCUGACCUCAAAAUCAGGUAGGACUACCCGCUGAACUUAAGCAUAUCAAUAAGCGGAGGAAGUU
rnacentral:rRNA from 1 species